rnacentral:sRNA from 1 species
CUCUUCGCUACUCCGUAGUGACGGAGAUUGUUGUGUUGCAAAAAUCCGGCCGUCGACCUGAGGACUUGCGUGCAGCUCAGCUCCCGGGACGUUUGGAGCUGCUGCUAAAUAAUUUCUGCUCAGCCAUGUCGCCGGCUCCAGAUGCAGCCCCGGCUCCUGCGUCGAUCUCCCUGUUUGACCUCAGCGCGGAUGCUCCGGUCCUUCAGGGCCUGAGCCUGAGGGAACAUUAUAAGCUUGACUGGCAUCGGUUUAACCUAAAGCAACGUCUCAAGGACAAGCCUCUCCUGUCUGCCCUGGACUUUGAAAAGCAGAGCUCCACAGGAGAUCUUUCCAGCAUCUCAGGAUCAGAAGACUCAGACUCAGCCAGUGAGGAGGACUUGCAGACACUGGAUCGGGAGAGGGCUACAUUUGAGAAGUUUAGCCGACCCCAAGGCUUUUACCCUCAUCGAGUUCUUUUCCAGAAUGCCCAGGGCCAGUUUCUUUAUGCCUACCGCUGUGUCCUAGGCCCUCAUCAGGAUCCCCCAGAAGAGGCAAAACUGCUGCUACAGAAUCUGCAAAGCAGAGGUCCCAGAGACUGCGUGGUGCUCAUGGCUGCAGCUGGGCACUUUGCUGGUGCUAUAUUUCAAGGAAGAGAAGUGGUGACACACAAAACUUUUCACCGCUAUACGGUGCGAGCCAAGCGGGGCACAGCCCAGGGGCUUCGGGAUGCCCGAGGUGGGCCAUCACGCUCUGCUGGAGCCAACCUGAGGCGCUACAAUGAAGCCACACUAUAUAAGGAUGUUCGUGACCUGCUGGCAGGGCCAAGCUGGGCUAAGGCGCUGGAGGAGGCUGGUACAAUACUGUUGCGUGCUCCCCGCUCUGGCCGGUCGUUGUUCUUUGGAGGCAAGGGGGCACCCCUGCAAAGGGGGGAUCCCCGACUUUGGGAUAUCCCCCUCGCCACCCGCAGACCCACCUUCCAAGAGCUACAGCGUGUGCUCCAUAAGCUGACCACUUUGCAUGUCUAUGAAGAAGACCCUCGGGAAGCAGUCAGACUGCACUCACCUCAGACACACUGGAAAACAAUAAGAGAGGAGAGAAAGAAGCCUACUGAGGAAGAAAUAAGAAAGAUCUGCAGUGAUGAAAAGGAAGCACUUGGGCAGAAUGAGGAAUCUCCCAAACAGGGUUUGAUUACUAUCUGGCAACUGUCAGAUCUGAGUUUCUGUCCUAAAAAUGCACUGGCAAAUUCCCUACUCUCAUAACUGACCCAUUUCCUUAUUUAAACACACACCCACAGUAUCUGUAUCUUAGCAAUUACUGAGACAUGUUUAGUGACCUUUCCAAAUCUAUUACCUCUUUUGUUAUGGAUGUUACCCCAGAGCUAAGAAAAUCUUUGUGUGGAGCAGAUGCGUGGACGUGUUGCAUGGAUCUCACAUAGUUUAUCUUUGAUUGGAAGCUGUGGUUUGAGGCUGAGGGCUGCUUCCAUGCUUUCCUCUAUUGUGCAGCCUCCUAAGGCUGCUCAUAAGUCCAGGGACUUGUUCUUGUCUGGGCUGAGAGCCUCAUUUCUGCAUGUGAUAUAAUGGACUC